rnacentral:rRNA from 1 species
GAUGAACGCUGGCGGCGCGCCUAACACAUGCAAGUCGAACGGACGGUGAAGAGCUUGCCUUUCAAAGUCAGUGGCGGACGGGUGAGUAACGCGUGGGUAACCUGCCUCAUACAGGGGAAUAGCAGCUGGAAACGGCUGAUAAAACCGCAUAAGCGCACAGUGCCGCAUGGCACAGUGUGAAAAACUCCGGUGGUAUGAGAUGGACCCGCGUCUGAUUAGCUUGUUGGCGGGGUAACGGCCCACCAAGGCGACGAUCAGUAGCCGGCCUGAGAGGGUGAUCGGCCACAUUGGGACUGAGACACGGCCCAAACUCCUACGGGAGGCAGCAGUGGGGAAUAUUGCACAAUGGGGGAAACCCUGAUGCAGCGACGCCGCGUGAAGGAAGAAGUAUCUCGGUAUGUAAACUUCUAUCAGCAGGGAAGAUAAUGACGGUACCUGACUAAGAAGCCCCGGCUAACUACGUGCCAGCAGCCGCGGUAAUACGUAGGGGGCAAGCGUUAUCCGGAUUUACUGGGUGUAAAGGGAGCGUAGGCGGCGGAGCAAGUCAGAAGUGAAAGCCCGGGGCUCAACCCCGGGACGGCUUUUGAAACUGCCCUGCUUGAUUUCAGGAGAGGUAAGCGGAAUUCCUAGUGUAGCGGUGAAAUGCGUAGAUAUUAGGAGGAACACCAGUGGCGAGGCGGCUUACUGGACUGAC